UACGGGGGGGGCAAGCGUUGUUCGGAAUUACUGGGCGUAAAGGGCUCGUAGGUGGCCAACUAAGUCAUACGUGAAAUCCCUCGGCUUAACCGGGGAACUGCGUCUGAUACUGGAUGGCUUGAGGUUGGGAGAGGGAUGCGGAAUUCCAGGUGUAGCGGUGAAAUGCGUAGAUAUCGGGAGGAAUACCAGUGGCGAAGGCGGCCUUCUGGACGGAUACUGACGCUGAGGCGCGAAAGCCAGGGGAGCAAACGGG
rnacentral:rRNA from 1 species